GUGAAUUGCAGAAUUCAGUGAAUCAUCGAAUCUUUGAACGCAUCUUGCGCUCCUUGGUAUUCCGAGGAGCAUGCCUGUUUGAGUGUCAUUU
rnacentral:rRNA from 1 species